UGCGUAGGUGGUGAGGUAAGUCGGAUGUGAAAGCUCGGAGCUCAACUCCGAAAUGGCAUUGGAAACUACCUUGCUCGAGGGUUGGAGGGGGGACUGGAAUACUUGGUGUAGCAGUGAAAUGCGUAGAUAUCAAGUGGAACACCAGUGGCGAAGGCGAGUCCCUGGACAACUCCUGACACUGAGGCACGAAAGCUAGGGAGCAAACA
rnacentral:rRNA from 1 species